GAGCUGUCCUUAGUACGAGAGGACCGGGAUGGACAUACCUCUGGUGUACCAGUUGUCGUGCCAACGGCAUAGCUGGGUAGCUAUGUAUGGACGGGAUAAGUGCUGAAAGCAUCUAAGCAUGAAGCCCCCCUCAAGAUGAGAUUUCCCAACUUCGGUUAUAAGAUCCCUCAGAGAUGAUGAGGUUAAUAGGUUCGAGGUGGAAGCGUGGUGACACGUGGAGCUGACGAAUACUAAUCGAUCGAAGACUUAAUCAAUUU
rnacentral:rRNA from 1 species